UCCACCUGAAGACAGUUCGUCGUCAUCUUCUCCGACUAUUAGACGGUCUACCAGGGAAAGAAGACAACCAGCUUGGAUGCGGUCAGGUAAGUAUGAUACAUCGCAUUCAGCUAGUUUGGUCACAGAAAAGGAUUGGUACCAGAGAAUCCAGUGUAUUACGUCAUUAGCAGAAACCAACUUAUUUGAAGAUCUACAAACAGAAGCAGCAAAGACGAUUUUAGAUAUUGUUAAAACUCCACAGAGCAAAUGACGGGACGUCAUUUCAGAUCAGGGAGGAGUAUGUGCUAGCGUGUAUUUAUUCAUGAUUGAAUAAAUACUGAUAUGAUUUUGUAAUUUAUAUUUUAUUUCCUAUUUGAAUUUACUUUAAAUAAAGAUGAUUUUAUUCCUAAUGCAUAUUUGUGUUUUCGUUUUCAAAUAGAUUAAUUACGGAUUGUAAUUAAUUAUGAGUGGUACUAUUCGUAUUUUAUAUUUACGGACUUUGACGAUUGACUAGUUUGGCCUUGAUUGUUACUCACUUCUACUAUUCUGAUGGUCAGUGUUUUACGCUUGAUUUGACCGCACACUUUCUGCUAUUUCAUUGGUUAUAUAUCUUUUGGCGGUUUAUUUAUAUUAAGUCUUUAUUCAAUUGUGGAUUGAUGUUCAAACCGAACAGACGUUUCAUAUACUUUAUUUGCUGUUUCCUAUUUUGUAUCAUUUGUAUUGGAGGAAUUCCACGAUUGUUUCAGGUAUUUGACAGAGUUCUGCAUAUGAUGUAGAUACCCGUAGAGGCAUAACCUUUGUACCUCAUACGAGGGUUUCUUUUGAUGCUUCAUUGAUUAAUAAAACUAUCCAGAACCCUAUACAUAGUCAACUAUUAUUUACGCCCAGAUAGUGCGACUACAUUUCGUCAAAA